rnacentral:lncRNA from 1 species
GCUUUCUCUGCCUCUUACACUUGAGAGUGAGAAAGGACCAUACCAAGCAGGUGCCCCAUGGCGUUCACUCCACAGAUGUUUAAGCAGACCUCCUGUGUGCAGGCACUGUGCCAGACAGAAAUUUGUCAGUGCCGAAAUGCAUGAAGAGAACCAAUCAUUUUAUCCUGGAGAAACUGAGGCCCAGAGAUGGAAGGAGGAGAGCCUGUCUCAGAGCCCCAUGUCCUCAUGCCCAGG